CUUCCUUCUUUAAAUUGCUUCUGUCAAGUGUUUUGUCACAGCAACAAGAGAAGCAACUAACACAUUGCUCUUCUGGUUCAGAGGAUCAUGAGAUGGACCUGACCCUGUGGGGAAGACCCGAGAUCUUGGGGACGAUUGGCCCUGCAUCUUGGUGGUCGUGUUCAGGCAGCGGGCCGACACCUAAUUCUGGAUCUGAAUGGGAGAGAGAAGAGACAAAAACAGGGGGACUGUGAAAGACAGCAAGGGACCGAGAAGGACAAGCCAGCUUUACAGAGUAUGUGACAUUUCCCAACAAGACUCUACAUCUGCCACCCGGCACCCUGACUCCCAGAGUUCUGGAAAUGCACACCAUUAGUAACUUCAGUUCCCUGGGAUCCAACCCCACUUUUCUGACCUCUGAAGGCACCAGGCACAAAUGUGGUGCAUAGACAUACAUGUGGGGAAAAUACCCAGAUGUGCAAAUAAAUAAACAAACAUGGAGCAACACCCUGAAAAGAUAAGUAACAUAAAUAAAUGAUAUAAAAGAAGGA